GACGAACGCUGGCGGCGUGCCUAAUACAUGCAAGUCGAACGAACCGCGACUAAGUGCUUGCACUAAGUCAAGGUGAGUGGCGAACGGGUGAGUAACACGUGGGUAACCUACCUCAUAGUGGGGGAUAACAGUCGGAAACGACUGCUAAUACCGCAUAGGACAUAGGAUCACAUGAUCCAGUGAGGAAAGGUGGCGCAAGCUAUCGCUAAGAGAUGGACCCGCGGUGCAUUAGCUAGUUGGUAGGGUAAAGGCCUACCAAGGCGAUGAUGCAUAGCCGACCUGAGAGGGUGAUCGGCCACAUUGGGACUGAGACACGGCCCAAACUCCUACGGGAGGCAGCAGUAGGGAAUCUUCCGCAAUGGACGCAAGUCUGACGGAGCAACGCCGCGUGAGUGAAGAAGGUCUUCGGAUCGUAAAGCUCUGUUGUUAGAGGAGAACAGCGCAUAGAGUAACUGCUAUGCGUGUGACGGUAUCUAACCAGAAAGCCACGGCUAACUACGUG
rnacentral:rRNA from 1 species